GGUUCAGACAUAAAAGGUGGCUUCGGCUACCACUUACAGAUGGACCCGCGGCGCAUUAGCUAGUUGGUGAGGUAACGGCUCACCAAGGCGACGAUGCGUAGCCCACCUGAGAGGGUGAUCGGCCACACUGGGACUGAAACACCGCCCAAACUCCUACGGGAGGCAGCAGUAAGGAAUCUUCCGCAAUGGACGAAAGUCUGACGGAACCACCCCGCGUGAGUGAUGAAGGGUUUCCGAACGUAAAGCUCUGUUGUUAAGGAAGAACAAGUGGCGUUCAAAUAGGGCGGCACCUUGACGGUACCUAACCAGAAAGCCACGGCUAACUACGUGCCAGCAGCCGCGGUAAUACGUAGGUGGCAAGCGUUGUCCGGAAUUAUUGGGCGUAAAGGGCUCGCAGGCGGUUUCUUAAGUCUGAUGUGAAAGCCCCCGGCUCAACCGGGGAGGGUCAUUGGAAACUGGGGAACUUGAGUGCAGAAGAGGAGAGUGGAAUUCCACGUGUAGCGGUGAAAUGCGUAGAGAUGUGGAGGAACACCAGUGGCGAAGGCGACUCUCUGGUCUGUAACUGACGCUGAUGAGCGAAAGCGUGGGGAGCGAACAGGAUUAGAUACCCUGGUAGUCCACGCCGUAAACGAUGAGUGCUAAGUGUUAGGGGGGUUCCGCCCCCUAGUGCUGCAGCUAACGCAUUAAGCACUCCGCCUGGGGAGUACGACCGCCAGACUGAAACUCACAGGAAUUGACGGGGG
rnacentral:rRNA from 2 species